UCGACAUCUUCCAUUAUCUUCUACAUUCUAUUGAUCUUCAAUUGACACCUCCACUCGCUUCUACUCAUCUUCAAUCGUUAUUGAUCUUCAAUCUACACCCCUACUUGCUUCUACUGAUCUUCAAUCACUGCUGAUCUUCAAUCGACACCCUCAAUCGUUGCCUCUUAGUCUUAAAUUGACAUCGCCAAUCGAUACAGAUUUAUCAUCAGCACAAGGGGAGCGAUUGAUACUCCGAUUCUGUUGUUGUUGACAGAUGGCUACAAAACCACUUAUAAUCGCUGCAAUAGCAUUGACAAAGAAGGAAAUGGACAUGGUCAUUAGGCAGAAACAACACACCAUUUGGGUUCGAUAUCAAUUAUUGUAUUAAACUAAGCUCAUGUAUCUAUUCUUUGUUAGAGAUAGCAUUGGUUUUGUUACUUUUCCUGUUAAGUAUCAAUGUGUUGUGUUUUGAGCUUUCAAAGGGGAUAUCUUGGUAGUUGUUGUCACUAUGGGUACCAAGGUCAUAUACUUGAUCUAGAAAGUGUUUUUGUGUCAAACAAAGUUCAAUGUAUCUAUUCUUUCUUCUAGAUGAUAUUAUUAAAAUGU